rnacentral:rRNA from 1 species
UACGUAGGGGGCAAGCGGUGUCCGGAAUCAUUGGGCGUAAAGAGCGUGUAGGUGGCUCGGUAAGUCCGCUGUGAAAGUCCAGGGCUCAACCCUGGAAAGCCGGUGGAAACUGUCGAGCUCGAGUCCGGAAGAGGCGAGUGGAAUUCCUGGUGUAGCGGUGAAAUGCGCAGAUAUCAGGAAGAACACCCGUGGCGAAGGCGGCUCUCUGGGACGGUACUGACGCUGAGACGCGAAAGCGUGGGGAGCGAACAGG